UACGUAGGCAGCAAGCGUUGUUCGGAAUUACUGGGCGUAAAGGGUGCGUAGGCGGUUCGUUAAGUCUGUCGUGAAAUCCCCGGGCUCAACCUGGGAAUGGCGAUGGAUACUGGCGAGCUAGAGUGUGUCAGAGGAUGGUGGAAUUCCCGGUGUAGCGGUGAAAUGCGUAGAUAUCGGAAGGAACAUCAGUGGCGAAAGCGACUUCCUGGACCAAUACUGACGCUCAUGUGCGAAAGCGUGGGGAGCAAACAGG
rnacentral:rRNA from 1 species